CCUCAAAGUUUGACCAGAUUUAGUCUCUCGGUCAUUUUCACAACCAGUUUUAAAGUUUUCAGUAAAUAUUUGUACGUCAAAGUUUUCAUCCUGUUUUGUUACAUAAUGCAAAGUUUGGAUAAAACAUUUAAAACGAUUUCAAAUGUUUUUUAAAGAAGCAAAGUGAGAAAUCCUGAAACAAAAUGCAGAAGUAAAAAAGCUCAACUCUGAAGCAAUAACAGCGUUAUUGUGAAAUGAUGUUUUCUGCUGAAAGCUGCAGCAGUAAAGUUCAUAUUUGCUCUGAUGAGUCGACGUUAAGCUGCAGCUUGUGUAAGAGCUGGUCUCAUGUUCCUGGUGUUAGAGCGCUAGAUGUUUGGAAAAUAGAUUUUCCAUCUAAUUUUGUAGCAAAUGAGCCAACCUGCCACUGAACGGAGUCUUUAAUAAACCUUGAAUUUUGCACAAAAAUGUGUAAAUUUUGUAUUUAGUUCAGUUUUACGUUGCUUCUUGUGAAUAAAGCUGAAAUUGUCGCAGCUUUAUGCUUUAUGCUUUCUGGUCCAGGUAGCUCAUAGUGUUUAUUAUAGUUCAGUUCUUCAUCAAGGAAAAUGCAAGAAACUUUUCAUGGCUGCUCAACACGUAGCAACCCUGAAGGAGCCGCAGCGCCGCAGCUUUAAGAGACGCAGCGUCCUUCACCUUCAGCUGCGAACAUCAGGGAGACAAACUAAAUCGACUUUUGGUGAAAUCACUGCAAAUCAUAAAUCUGACAUAAAAAAGGACAAAAAAUAGCAAACAAAACAAUUAGUGAGGUCAGAUUCAAGGUCAGGGUCACAAGUUUACCUUCUUUUUUAAGCAAAAGUAAAUGUUUGAUUUUUAGGUUACAUAUUUACAGGAAGCUGCACAGUGGAGCAGUUGGUAGCACUGUUGCCUUGCAUCAUGAAGGUCCUGGGUUCUAUUCCCAGCCUGGGGUCUUUCUGCAUGGAGUUAGCAUGUUCCCCCUGUGCAUGGUGGGUUCUUCCUUCCACAGUCCAAAGCAUGACUGUCAGAUUAGUUGGUCUCUCUAAAUUCUCCCUAGGUGUGAGUGUGGUUGUUUGUCCUGUGUUGCCCUGGCGAUGAACUGGUGACCUGUCCAGGUGACCCCGCCUCUCAGCCUCCUGAUAGGAUAAGGCUGGAAGAUGGAUGAAUAUUUACAGGAUAUGAAAGUGUUGAAAUCCUCAGAGGUCAUCAGGUGCAAGGCAGCAGUAGCCUGGGAGUUCAACCAGCCUUUGGUGAUCGAAGAGGUUGAGGUGGCGCCGCCUCAGGAGAAGGAGAUCCGGAUCAAGAUCGUGGCAACAGGAGUGUGUCAGUCGGAUCUCUACUUCCUGUGCAAAUGUCUGAAUCAGACGAUGUUCCCGGCCGUUUUUGGCCAUGAAGCAGCCGGUGUGGUGGAGAGCAUCGGACCCGGGGUCACGGAGUUCCAGCCGGGAGACACGGUGAUCCCGCUGUUCAUGCCUCAGUGUCGGGAAUGCCGCCUCUGCAAGAGUCCCAAGACCAACCUCUGCGUCAACGGGUCGGCCGGUCGAAUAGAUGAGCGGAGCUUUGAGCGCUCCAGGAUCAGCUGCAGGGGCAGGAAGCUGCUGCAGUUCCUGGGAACCAGCAGCUUCUCUGAGUUCACCGUGGUGAAGGAGAUUUCUGUGGCCAAGAUCGACCCGGCCGCGCCGCUGCACAAAGUCUGUCUGAUCGGCUGCGCCAUCUGCACCGGGUACGGAGCGGCCGUCAAUACCGCCAAGGUGGAAGCAGGCUCCAGCUGCGCCGUGUUCGGUCUGGGAGCCGUGGGCCUGGCCGCGGUCAUGGGCUGCAGGGCGGCGGCAGCCAGCAGGAUCAUCGCCGUCGACAUCAACCCGGAGAAGUUUGAGAAGGCCAAGGUGUUGGGAGCCACGGAUGUGGUGAACCCCAACGACCACAGCAGGCCCAUCCAGCAGGUCAUCCAGGAGAUGACCAGUGGUGGAGUGGACUUCUCCUUCGAAUGCAUCGGGAAUGUGGAGGUCAUGCGCAGCGCCUUGGAAUCUUGUGCGGCCGGCUGGGGGGUCAGUGUGAUCGCCGGCUGGACAGACAUGCAGAACUUCAGCGCCCCGCCCAUCCAGCUGAUGACUGGACGGAAAUGGACGGGAACUCUGUUUGGAGAUGAAGUUUUUCGUCAUGCUCAGCCCCCCGUGUGUUUCAGUCUGGACACGGCCCUGUUCUUAAAGGGACGGUACCUGAUGAUGCUUCCUCUGCUUCAGGGUUUAAAGGGAAGGACGGCGUUGCUCAGAUGGUCAGAGCUUACCUGGACAGGAAGCUGAUGGUGGACGAGUUCAUCACCCACAACCUGAGGCUGGACCAGGUCAACGAAGCCGUGGAGCUGAUGAAGAACGGCCGGUGCGUCCGGGCCGUGCUGAGCGUCGCUCCUCAGUGACGUCAUCGAGCGUCUGAACGUUUCCAUCCUGUUGCCUGAUGGUAGAAAAUAAAGGAGCUGAUCUGGAUUCUGCCUCGGACUGACUCUAUGUUUCUAGUUCUACUUUGAUCUUUUGCAGAACGUAUCUAGAAGUUGAUUUCUCGUUUUGUCUUCAGACAAAACUUCGAUAUAAUAAUCAUGUUCAUCUCAGUCUGAUGAUAAUAAUCUGAUGACGACGUCCUAAAAGAUGAAAGGUGAUAAAGUGAAACUUCACUAAACAUUCUUUUAAUUUUUGAUUAUUUCUUUGAUUAUUGAGUUCAACUAUUUGUUGAGACUUUUUUCUUUAUUAUCAUAAAACUGUUUGCUCUCAGAUUAUUUGGACUUUCUGUCAUAAAACUUUAUUCUUGUAAUUUUAUCAUUUAAUUCUUGACUUUUUGCAGCAAUCUGACUUUUUACUCAUUACAACUUUAUUCUACUUUAUCUUUAUGUGACUAUUAUACGACUUUAUUCUAGUAAGAUUAUGACUUAAUUCUCAUGUUUCUUAGUCUUGCCCUCAUAAUCUGUUAUACUUUCACAUUAAAACUGCUAUUAAUGUGUAAUAAUAUUUCCACAGCUUUAGCAAGAGCUGCAGAAAUAUCUCAAUUCUCUUUAAAUCAGAAAUAUAUGAAGAUGAUUUUCCAGCUGAAGUUUUUCCAACCAGUUUCUCCUCAGCAGUUGCAAAGUUUGCUUCUACUUUGGGCCGGCCCAGGCCCUUCUGUGAUGUCGUAAAGCAGAGAUAAACUUUCACCUGCUCAGAAAUAAAUCAUUUCCAGACA